rnacentral:rRNA from 1 species
GGCGAACGCUGGCGGCGUGCUUAACACAUGCAAGUCGAGCGGUAAGGCCUUUCGGGGUCCCCGAGCGGCGAACGGGUGAGUAACACGUGGGUGAUCUGCCCUGCACUUCGGGAUAAGCCUGGGAAACUGGGUCUAAUACCGGAUAUGACCUCCUAUCGCAUGGUGGGUGGUGGAAAGAUUUAUCGGUGCAGGAUGGGCCCGCGGCCUAUCAGCUUGUUGGUGGGGUAAUGGCCUACCAAGGCGACGACGGGUAGCCGACCUGAGAGGGUGACCGGCCACACUGGGACUGAGACACGGCCCAGACUCCUACGGGAGGCAGCAGUGGGGAAUAUUGCACAAUGGGCGAAAGCCUGAUGCAGCGACGCCGCGUGAGGGAUGACGGCCUUCGGGUUGUAAACCUCUUUCAGCAGGGACGAAGCGCAAGUGACGGUACCUGCAGAAGAAGCACCGGCUAACUACGUG